rnacentral:rRNA from 1 species
GAUGAACGCUGGCGGCGUGCUUAACACAUGCAAGUCGGACGGGAAGUCGUGUUUCCAGUGGCGUACGGGUGUGUCACGCGUAAGAGCCUGCCCUUGGUAGGGGGCCCACAGCUGGAAACGGCUGCUAAUACCCCGUAGGCUGUGGCGCAUAGGGAGUAAUCCGGCCGAGGGGGGGCUUGCGUCUGAUUGCCUAGGUGGUGAGGCAAUUGCUUACCCAGGCGAUGGUCAGUAGCUGGUCCGAGGUGAUGGUCAGCAACGCUGGGACUGAGACACGGCCCAGACUCCGACAGGAAGCAGUGGGGGGUAAUGCACCGUGAGGGGAGACAGGCUGAAGGAGCGACGCCGCGGGGAGGUAGAAGGCCGAGGGGUCGUGAACUGCUUCUUGCGGAGAAGAAGCAAUGACGGUAACUGGGGAAUAAGCACCGGCUAACUCUGUG